rnacentral:rRNA from 1 species
UACAGAGGGAGCAAGCGUUGUUCGGAAUUACUGGGCGUAAAGGGCGCGUAGGCGGUUCGAUAAGUCCCGUGUGAAAUCCCUCGGCUCAACUGAGGAAUUGCACGGGAAACUGACGGGCUUGAGUUCGGGAGAGGGAAGCGGAAUUCCGGGUGUAGCGGUGAAAUGCGUAGAUAUUCGGAAGAACACCAGUGGCGAAGGCGACUUACUGGACACAUAUUGACGCUGAGGUGCGAAAGCGUGGGGAGCAAACAGG